rnacentral:rRNA from 1 species
UUGUUGGUAAGGUAAAAGCUUACCAAGGCUUCGAUCAGUAGCUGGUCUGAGAGGACGACCAGCCACACUGGGACUGAGACACGGCCCAGACUCCUACGGGAGGCAGCAGUGGGGAAUUUUGGACAAUGGGGGCAACCCUGAUCCAGCCAUGCCGCGUGAGUGAAGAAGGCCUUCGGGUUGUAAAGCUCUUUCAGCCGGAACGAAACGGUUACGGUUAACACCCGUGACUACUGACGGUACCGGAAGAAGAAGCACCGGCUAACUACGUGCCAGCAGCCGCGGUAAUACGUAGGGUGCGAGCGUUAAUCGGAAUUACUGGGCGUAAAGCGUGCGCAGGUGGUUUUGUAAGUCAGAUGUGAAAGCCCCGGGCUCAACCUGGGAACUGCGUUUGAAACUACAAGACUAGAGUGUGGCAGAGGGGGGUGGAAUUCCGCGUGUAGCAGUGAAAUGCGUAGAGAUGUGGAGGAACACCGAUGGCGAAGGCAGCCCCCUGGGUCAACACUGACGCUCAGGCACGAAAGCAUGGGGAGCAAACAGGAUUAGAUACCCUGGUAGUCCAUGCCCUAAACGAUGUCAACUAGUUGUCGGGCCUUUACGGGCUUGGUAAUGUAGCUAACGCGUGAAGUUGACCGCCUGGGGAGUACGAUCGCAAGAUUAAAACUCAAAUGAAUUGACGGGGACCCGCACAAGCGGUGGAUUAUGUGGAUUAAUUCGAUGCAACGCGAAAAACCUUACCUACCCUUGACAUGUAUCGAAGCCCGCAGAAAAGCGGGGGUGCCCGAAAGGGAACGAUAACACAGGUGCUGCAUGGCUGUCGUCAGCUCGUGUCGUGAGAUGUUGGGUUAAGUCCCGCAACGAGCGCAACCCUUGUCAUUAAUUGCCAUCAUUUAGUUGGGCACUUUAAUGAGACUGCCGG